rnacentral:rRNA from 1 species
UACGGGGGGGGCAAGCGUUGUUCGGAUUUACUGGGCGUAAAGGGCGCGUAGGCGGCAAUUCAAGUCAGCUGUGAAAUCUCUGGGCUUAACUCGGAACGGUCAGCUGAUACUGCUUUGCUAGAGUGCAGAAGGGGCAAUCGGAAUUCUUGGUGUAGCGGUGAAAUGCGUAGAUAUCAAGAGGAACACCUGAGGUGAAGACGGGUUGCUGGGCUGACACUGACGCUGAGGCGCGAAAGCUAGGGUAGCAAACGGG